GUCCCAGGUCCUCGUUUUUUCUGUCUCUCAGCAUCAGACGGAGUGGAGGGGGAAACGCAAGGUUAAGAUGAAAAACAGAGCUUUGAAAGUUUUCAGAGAUUGCCUGGAAGAGGUUCGGGCCCUGACUUCACGUCUACAAAGCCACCUGGGCAGGCUCCCUGACAAGGGCAGCUCUCAUCAGCUCUCCUAUCAA